UACGUAGGGGGCAAGCGUUGUCCGGAUUUAUUGGGCGUAAAGAGCGUGUAGGCGGCCUGGUAGGUCAGCUGUGAAAACUCGAGGCUCAACCUCGAGACGCCGGUUGAAACCAUCAGGCUAGAGUCCGGAAGAGGAGAGUGGAAUUCCCGGUGUAGCGGUGAAAUGCGCAGAUAUCGGGAGGAACACCGAUGGCGAAGGCAGGUCUCUGGGCCACUACUGACGCUGAGAAGCGAAAGCAUGGGGAGCGAACAGG
rnacentral:rRNA from 1 species